rnacentral:rRNA from 1 species
GCAGCCGCGGUAACACGUAAGUUGCGAGCGUUGUUCGGAAUUAUUGGGCGUAAAGGGCAUGUAGGCGGUUUUGCAAGCUUGAUGUGAAAUGCCGGGGCUUAACUCCGGCACUGCGUUGAGAACUGCAUGACUAGAGUAACUGAGGGGCAGCCGGAAUUCCAGGUGUAGGGGUGAAAUCUGUAGAUAUCUGGAAGAACACCAAUGGCGAAGGCAGGCUACCAGCAGAUUACUGACGCUGAGGUGCGAAGGUGCGGGGAGCAAACAGGAUUAGAUACCCC